GGCAGGUAGCAUAUUCUAUAUAUUUCUCAUCGUCAGGGCAGGUAGCAUAUUUUAUAUAUUUCUCAUCGUCAGGGCAGGUAACAUAUUUUAUAUAUUUCUCAUCGUCAGGGCAGGUAACAUAUUUUAUAUAUUUCUCAUCAUCAGGACAGGUAACAUAUUUUAUAUAUUUCUCAUCAUCAGGACAGGUAACAUAUUUUAUAUAUUUCUCAUCAUCAGGACAGGUAAUUAUAACAUAUUUUAUAUAUUUCUCAUCAUCAGGACAGGUAACAUAUUUAGUAUAUUUCUCAUCAUCAGGACAGGUAACAUAUUUUAUAUAUUUCUCAUAGUCAGGACAUGUAACAUAUUUUAUAUAUUUCUCAUCAUCAGGACAGGUAACAUAUUUUAUAUAUUUUUCAUAGUCGGGACAGGUAACAUAUUUAGUAUAUUUCUCAAAGUCAGGACAGGUAACAUGUUUAGUAUAUUUCUCAUCAUCAGGACAGGUAACACAUUUUAUAUAUUUCUCAUAGUCAGGAGAAGGACAGGUAACAUAUUUUAUAUAUUUCUCAUAGUCAGGACAGGUAACAUAUUUAGUAUAUUUCUCAUAGUCAGGACAGGUAACAUAUUUUAUAUAUUUCUCAUAGUCAGGACAGGUAACAUAUUUAGUAUAUUUCUCAUCGUCAGGACAGGUAACAUAUUUUAUAUAUUUCUCAUAGUCAGGGCAGGUAACAUAUUUUAUAUAAUUCUC